AUAACAUGUAACACGUUUCGGAGUGAGUCCUCUGCAGAGAUCCUACCACUGAACUCUGUUCAAUAACCUGACCCACAUCCGGUGGAAACUCACGACAGCAGUGAAUAAUGCAAAUUAACAAGAUAGAAGAAACAUGCGUUGGCACACACAGCUCCCACAUGGCCUGUGCAUCUGGAGCCUGAAAGUUUAGUGGUCAUGAAGGCAUCAGCAGUCAUCUUAGGCCACCUGUCACAAAGCAUACCCACAAUACUGACAGUGGAGGCAAAGGAGAAAUGUCAUCUGGUCAACCAAUACUGGAGCUGAUUUAUACAGCCUUCCUGGCAGCCACUAUCAUAGCUAGUAUCUUCAGUUUGUUAUGCCUCCUUCCUCUUUACCCACCGAGUGGAUCUUUAAUUCAUGUGUUAACCCUGUCCGUAAUAUGCACCUGGUCAUAUCCAUGCAGCAUCUGAACUCAAAUGCCCAAAGCAGAAAUCAAUAAACAUGGCUAUAAAGCAAUGACAUGAAUUGUAGAUUUUGAGCACUUAAUUCACAUCCUGCCUCGAAUAUUCUAUGAAAAAAUAUUUAGUUUUUAGCUACAGAUGGAAACAGCUGACGUUACAGGCCAAAAUCAUGCAAUUGUUAAGACUGUCAAAGACAUGAUGGCCAUGAUGGCCAAAAAUAACUAAGUAUUUAAUCUAUGGUCUCACAGUUAUAAUUGUAGCUCCAAUAAACAUCUACACCUGUGGAUUCGACACAGCAAUACAACAGUAAAUACACAUUUAUUAUGGUAGAAGUUG